rnacentral:rRNA from 1 species
GUCGAACGAGAACGGAACUAGCUUGCUAGUUUGUCAGCUAAGUGGCGCACGGGUUAGUAAUAUAUAGUUAAUCUGCCCCAAAGAAGAGGAUAAUUGUUGGAAACGACUUGUAACGCUCUAUAUGCCUUUAUCACAUAAGUGAGCAAGGGAAACAUUUAUGGCUUUGGGAUGAGACUGUACGGUAUCAGCUAGUUGGUGAGGUAAUGGCUCACCAAGGCAAUGACAUCUAACUGGUUUGAGAGGAUGAUCAGUCACACUGGAACUGAGACACGGUCCAGACUCCUACGGGAGGCAGCAGUGGGGAAUAUUGCACAAUGGAGGAAACUCUGAUGCAGCAACGCCGCGUGGAGGAUGACACAUUUCGGUGCGUAAACUCCUUUUAUAUGAGAAGAUAAUGACGGUAUCAUAUGAAUAAGCACCGGCUAACUCCGUGCCAGCAGCCGCGGUAAUACAGGGGGUGCAAGCGUUACUCGGAAUCACUGGGCGUAAAGAGCAUGUAGGCUGAUUUGUAAGUUGGAAGUGAAAUCCUAUGGCUCAACCAUAGAACUGCUUCCAAAACUGCUUAUCUAGAGUAUGGGAGAGGUAGAUGGAAUUUCUGGUGUAGGGGUAAAAUCCGUAGAGAUCAGAAGGAAUACCGAUUGCGAAGGCGAUCUACUGGAACA